rnacentral:rRNA from 1 species
CCCUUAGAUGUUCUGGGCCGCACGCGCGCUACACUGAUGCAUUCAACGAGCCUCUCCUUGACCGACAGGUCCGGGUAAUCUUUGAAUCUGCAUCGUGACGGGGAUAGAUUAUUGCAAUUAUUAAUCUUCAACGAGGAAUGCCUAGUAGGCGCAAGUCAUCAGCUUGCGUCGAUUACGUCCCUGCCCUUUGUACACACCGCCCGUCGCUCCUACCGAUUGGGUGUGCUGGUGAAAUGUUCGGAUCGGCCGUUUGUCGCGGUUUCCGCGUCAUGUGGCUGAGAAGUUCAUUAAACCCUCCCACCUAGAGGAAGGAGAAGUCGUAACA